rnacentral:rRNA from 1 species
AGAGCGAACGCUGGCGGCAGGCCUAACACAUGCAAGUCGAGCGCCCGUAGCAAUACGGGAGCGGCAGACGGGAUAGUAACACGUGGGAACGCGCCCUUCGGUUCGGAAUAACUCAGGGAAACUUGAGCUAAUACCGAAUACGCCCUUACGGGGAAAGAUUUAUUGCCGAAGGAACGGCCCGCGUCCGAUUAGCUAGUUGGUGAGGUAAUGGCUCACCAAGGCUACGAUCGGUAGCUGGUCUGAGAGGAUGACCAGCAUCACUGGGACUGAGACACGGCCCAGACUCCUACGGGAGGCAGCAGUGGGGAUAUUGGACAAUGGGCGCAAGCCUGAUCCAGCCAUGCCGCGUGGAUGAUGAAGGCCUUAGGAUUGUAAAGUCCUUUUAACGGGGAAGAUAAUGACGGUACCCGUAGAAUAAGCCCGGCUAACUUCGCGCCAGCAGCCGC